rnacentral:rRNA from 1 species
ACGGAAGGCAGCAGUGGGGAAUAUUGGACAAUGGGGGAAACCCUGAUCCAGCGACGCCGCGUGAGUGAAGAAGUAUUUCGGUAUGUAAAGCUCUAUCAGCAAGGAAGAAAAUGACGGUACUUGACUAAGAAGCUCCGGCUAAAUACGUGCCAGCAGCCGCGGUAAUACGUAUGGAGCAAGCGUUAUCCGGAUUUACUGGGUGUAAAGGGUGCGUAGGCGGCAUAACAAGUCAGUCGUUAAAUCCCAGAGCUUAACUCUGGACCAGCGAUUGAAACUGUUAAGCUAGAGUACAGGAGAGGUAAGCGGAAUUACUAGUGUAGAGGUGGAAUUCGUAGAUAUUAGUAAGAACACCAAUGGCGAAGGCAGCUUACUGGCCUGAAACAGACGCUGAGGCACGAAAGUGUGGGGAGCAAACAGGAUUAGAUACCCUGGUA